AUGAACGCUGGCGGCGUGCCUAAUACAUGCAAGUCGAGCGAACGGACGAGAAGCUUGCUUCUCUGAUGUUAGCGGCGGACGGGUGAGUAACACGUGGAUAACCUACCUAUAAGACUGGGAUAACUUCGGGAAACCGGAGCUAAUGCCGGAUAAUAUUUUGAACCGCAUGGUUCAAAAGUGAAAGACGGUCUUGCUGUCACUUAUAGAUGGAUCCGCGCUGCAUUAGCUAGUUGGUAAGGUAACGGCUUACCAAGGCAACGAUGCAUAGCCGACCUGAGAGGGUGAUCGGCCACACUGGAACUGAGACACGGUCCAGACUCCUACGGGAGGCAGCAGUAGGGAAUCUUCCGCAAUGGGCGAAAGCCUGACGGAGCAACGCCGCGGGAGUGAUGAAGGUCUUCGGAUCGUAAAACUCUGUUAUUAGGGAAGAACAUAUGUGUAAGUAACUGUGCACAUCUUGACGGUACCUAAUCAGAAAGCCACGGCUAACUACGUG
rnacentral:rRNA from 1 species